rnacentral:rRNA from 1 species
UAGGGAAUAUUGGUAAUGGGCGAAAGCCUGAACCAGCAACGCCGCGUGUGCGAUGAAGGCCUUCGGGUUGUAAAGCACUUUUGACCGGGACGAGGAAGGACGGUACCGGUGUAAUAAGCCUCGGAUAACUACGUGCCAGCAGCCGCGGUAAAACGUAGGAGGCGAGCGUUAUCCGGAUUUACUGGGUGUAGAGCGCGUGCAGGCGGUUAGCUAAGUUGGGUGUGAAAGAUCCAGGAUCAACUGGGAGUGGUCGCUCAAGACUGGCUGACACUAGGAUGGUAUGCGAAGGUGGAGUUCCGGGUGAAGUGGUGAAAUGCGUAGAUAUACGGAGGAACACCAGUGGAGAAGACGGCCUUCUGCACCAUCACUGCCGCUCAGACGCGCAACCUAGGGUAGCAAAC